rnacentral:rRNA from 1 species
CCUACGGGAGGCAGCAGUGGGGAAUAUUGCACAAUGGGCGAAAGCCUGAUGCAGCAACGCCGCGUGAGGGAAGACGGUUUUCGGAUUGUAAACCUCUGUUUUCGGUGACGAACAAAUGACGGUAACCGAGUAGGAAGCCACGGCUAACUACGUGCCAGCAGCCGCGGUAAUACGUAGGUGGCAAGCGUUAUCCGGAAUUACUGGGUGUAAAGGGAGCGCAGGCGGGAUAGCAAGUCAGCUGUGAAAACUAUGGGCUCAACCCAUAAACUGCAGUUGAAACUGUUAUUCUUGAGUGGAGUAGAGGCAAGCGGAAUUCCGAGUGUAGCGGUGAAAUGCGUAGAUAUUCGGAGGAACACCAGUGGCGAAGGCGGCUUGCUGGGCUCUAACUGACGCUGAGGCUCGAAAGUGUGGGGAGCAAACAGGA